GAUGAACGCUAGCUACAGGCUUAACACAUGCAAGUCGAGGGGAAACGACAUCGUAAGCUUGCUUUUGAUGGGCGUCGACCGGCGCACGGGUGAGUAACGCGUAUCCAACCUGCCCAUCACUUGGGGAUAACCUUGCGAAAGUAAGACUAAUACCCAAUGAUAUCUCUAGAAGACAUCUGAAAGAGAUUAAAGAUUUAUCGGUGAUGGAUGGGGAUGCGUCUGAUUAGCUUGUUGGCGGGGUAACGGCCCACCAAGGCAACGAUCAGUAGGGGUUCUGAGAGGAAGGUCCCCCACAUUGGAACUGAGACACGGUCCAAACUCCUACGGGAGGCAGCAGUGAGGAAUAUUGGUCAAUGGGCGAGAGCCUGAACCAGCCAAGUAGCGUGCAGGAAGACGGCCCUAUGGGUUGUAAACUGCUUUUAUAAGGGAAUAAAGUGAGAGUCGUGACUCUUUUUGUAUGUACCUUAUGAAUAAGGACCGGCUAAUUCCGUG
rnacentral:rRNA from 1 species